UACGUAGGGGGCAAGCGUUGUCCGGAUUUAUUGGGCGUAAAGAGCGUGUAGGCGGCCAGGUAGGUCUGCUGUGAAAACUCGAGGCUUAACCUCGAGAUGUCGGCGGAAACCAUCUGGCUAGAGUCCGGAAGAGGAGAGCGGAAUUCCUGGUGUAGCGGUGAAAUGCGCAGAUAUCAGGAGGAACACCCAUGGCGAAGGCGGCUCUCUGGGACGGUACCUGACGCUGAGACGCGAAAGCGUGGGGAGCGAACAGG
rnacentral:rRNA from 1 species